AAUGAACGAUGGCGGCAGGCCUAACACAUGCAAGUCGAACGGAUCCUUCGGGAUUAGUGGCGGACGGGUGAGUAACGCGGGGGAACAUAACCAAAGGUACGGAAUAGCCUCGGGAAACUGGGAGUAAUAACGUAUGAUCUCGAACGAGGAGAGAUUUAUCGCUUUUGGAUUGGACCGCGUUGGAUAAGGUAGUUGGUGGGGGAAUGGCCUACCAAGCCGACGAUCAAUAGCUGGUUUGUGAGGAUGAUCAGCCACACUGGGACUGAGACACGGCCCAGACUCCUACGGGAGGCAGCAAUGGGGAAUCUUAGACAAUGGGGGAAACCCUGAUCUAGCCAUGCCGCGUGAUCGAUGAAGGCCUUAGGGUUGUAAAGAUCUUUCAGGUGGGAAGAUAAUGACUUUACCACCAGAAGAAGCCCCGGCUAACUCCGUGCCAGCAGCCGCGGUAA
rnacentral:rRNA from 1 species